AGCGAACGCUGGCGGCAGGCUUAACACAUGCAAGUCGAACGGACCCUUCGGGGUUAGUGGCGGACGGGUGAGUAACUCGGGGGAACGUGCCUUUAGGUUCGGAACAACACAGGGAAACUUGUGCUAAUACCGGAUGUGCCCUUCGGGGGAAAGAUUUAUCGCCUUUAGAGCGGCCCGCGUCUGAUUAGCUAGUUGGUGGGGUAAAGGCUCACCAAGGCUACGAUCAGUAGCUGGUCUGAGAGGAUGGCGAGCCACAUUGGGACUGAGACACGGCCCAAACUCCUACGGGAGGCAGCAGUGGGGAAUCUUGCGCAAUGGGCGAAAGCCUGACGCAGCCAUGCCGCGUGGAUGAUGAAGGUCUUAGGAUUGUAAAAUCCUUUCAGCGGGGACGAUAAUGACGGUAGCCGGAGAAGAAGCCCCGGCUAACUUCGUGCCAGCAGCCGCGGUAACAC
rnacentral:rRNA from 1 species